rnacentral:rRNA from 1 species
CGAACGAUGAAGCCCAGCUUGCUGGGUGGAUUAGUGGCGAACGGGUGAGUAACACGUGAGCAACCUGCCCCUGACUCUGGGAUAAGCGCUGGAAACGGCGUCUAAUACUGGAUACGAACAAGAAUCGCAUGGUUACUUGUUGGAAAGAUUUUUUGGUUGGGGAUGGGCUCGCGGCCUAUCAGCUUGUUGGUGAGGUAAUGGCUCACCAAGGCGUCGACGGGUAGCCGGCCUGAGAGGGUGACCGGCCACACUGGGACUGAGACACGGCCCAGACUCCUACGGGAGGCAGCAGUGGGGAAUAUUGCACAAUGGGCGGAAGCCUGAUGCAGCAACGCCGCGUGAGGGAUGACGGCCUUCGGGUUGUAAACCUCUUUUAGCAGGGAAGAAGCGAGAGUGACGGUACCUGCAGAAAAAGCGCCGGCUAACUACGUGCCAGCAGCCGCGGUAAUACGUAGGGCGCAAGCGUUAUCCGGAAUUAUUGGGCGUAAAGAGCUCGUAGGCGGUUUGUCGCGUCUGCUGUGAAAUCCCGAGGCUCAACCUCGGGCCUGCAGUGGGUACGGGCAGACUAGAGUGCGGUAGGGGAGAUUGGAAUUCCUGGUGUAGCGGUGGAAUGCGCAGAUAUCAGGAGGAACACCGAUGGCGAAGGCAGAUCUCUGGGCCGUAACUGACGCUGAGGAGCGAAAGGGUGGGGAGCAAACAGGCUUAGAUACCCUGGUAGUCCACCCCGUAAACGUUGGGAACUAGUUGUGGGGUCCAUUCCACGGAUUCCGUGACGCAGCUAACGCAUUAAGUUCCCCGCCUGGGGAGUACGGCCGCAAGGCUAAAACUCAAAGGAAUUGACGGGGACCCGCACAAGCGGCGGAGCAUGCGGAUUAAUUCGAUGCAACGCGAAGAACCUUACCAAGGCUUGACAUAUACGAGAACGGGCCAGAAAUGGUCAACUCUUUGGACACUCGUAAACAGGUGGUGCAUGGUUGUCGUCAGCUCGUGUCGUGAGAUGUUGGGUUAAGUCCCGCAACGAGCGCAACCCUCGUUCUAUGUUGCCAGCACGUAAUGGUGGGAACUCAUGGGAUACUGCCGGGGUCAACUCGGAGGAAGGUGGGGAUGACGUCAAAUCAUCAUGCCCCUUAUGUCUUGGGCUUCACGCAUGCUACAAUGGCCGGUACAAUGGGCAGCGAUACCGUGAGGUGGAGCGAAUCCCAAAAAGCCGGUCCCAGUUCGGAUUGAGGUCUGCAACUCGACCUCAUGAAGUCGGAGUCGCUAGUAAUCGCAGAUCAGCAACGCUGCGGUGAAUACGUUCCCGGGUCUUGUACACACCGCCCGUCAAGUCAUGAAAGUCGGUAACACCUGAAGCCGGUGGCCUAACCCUU